GAUGAACGCUGGCGGCGUGCCUAAUACAUGCAAGUCGAGCGAACGGACGAGAAGCUUGCUUCUCUGAUGUUAGCGGCGGACGGGUGAGUAACACGUGGAUAACCUACCUAUAAGACUGGGAUAACUUCGGGAAACCGGAGCUAAUACCGGAUAAUAUUUUGAACCGCAUGGUUCAAAAGUGAAAGACGGUCUUGCUGUCACUUAUAGAUGGAUCCGCGCUGCAUUAGCUAGUUGGUAAGGUAACGGCUUACCAAGGCAACGAUGCAUAGCCGACCUGAGAGGGGGUAGGGCCCCUGGGGAAGUGAGCAGCGGCCCGGGACCCGAGGGGAGGCACAGGGGGGGAAGUUUCGCAAUAGGGGGAAAGCUUGCAGGAGGAACGCGGGGGGGGUGAAGGGGGUCUGCGGGUGGGAAAACCUUUUUUUGGGGGAAAAAAAAAUUUGUAAGUAACGGUGCACAUCUGAAGGGAACCGAAAAAGAAACCCCGGCUAAAUUAGGG
rnacentral:rRNA from 1 species